rnacentral:piRNA from 1 species
UUGUUCUAGUUAAGGUUUUAACAGGCUGG